rnacentral:rRNA from 1 species
GUCUAUGGCCAUGCUGCCCUGAACAAACUUGCUUGCUUCUGAUCUCAGAGGCUAAGCAGGGUUGGGCCUGGUUAUUACUUGGAAGGGAGACCCCCUAGGAAGACCAGGUGCUUUAGGAG